ACCUCAGCACAUGGAGUUCCCAGGUCAGGGAUCAGAUCUGAGCUGAAGUUGCAAUUUAUGCUCAAGCUGUAGCAAUACCAGAUCCUUAACCCACUAUGCCAGGCCAGGGAUUGAACCUGUGUCCCAGCGCUCCAGAGACACUGCUGAUCCUGUUGUGCCAUAGCAGGAAUUCCAACUUCUACUACUUUUUAUUGGAGUUUACUGGGCAUUGUGCUAAAUGCUUUCACACAUUAUCCCAUUUUCAUUCUCUGUAGCUCUCCCAUAGGACAGAUACUAUCCCGCCAUUAGUUGUUCAGGUAAGGCUGUCCCAAGCGACACAGUGCCCAGAGUCCAAGAGCUUCUCAGGAACCUACUUAAAUGUUUAAAACCUGAGGAAAGUCUGGCUCCAAAUGCAAAAACUACAGAAUAACCCAAAUUAAUAAGUGUUUAAUCAAAUGUCUACAUGUCAUCAAUUGCUAAUUUAUAUCAUUAAUUGUGUCGGCUUCCUUAAUUAUUAAAUGUAGUGUUCAUAAGAAUGGCAUUAUAUUUGGAAAUAAUGUGUAGAUGAGAUUUUUUAAACUCUGCCAAGUACUUCCAGAAUGCAAAUGAAUGCCCACGUAGUACUGAGAACUUGAAGAUAAUUAUCCUGUGGAUGAAUUACUCUUAGCCAAUAUACCUUCCAAGGCAAACUUACAAAAAUCACUUCGUUUUAUGUUACAGAAAUAAGACAUAUUUAAGGUAGCAAUCCUGCGUACUUCAAUCAUUGAUUUGGGGGAGGAACUUUCAAAACUAAUAGCAUCUCAUCCUAGGAAGGCCUGAAGAUGGUCUUUAUUAUUAUUAGCCCCAUUUCACAGAUUUAACUUCAUGAUCUGCAGUUUCCUGGUUACUCGAUUCAACGCCUCUCCCAAUUCUCCUGGCCAAAUUCUCACCCUUUCCUGCCCCCUACUUCCUUGCCUACCCCCCCCACCACCACCACCACCACUCAGCCUACCCUGGGCUGGGGCGCACACAGGGAUGUGUGUAUGUGUGAAUGCGUAUGGGGGUGGUCGGACAAGGUGAGUGUCUCCCUGGCCUGCCCUGCAGGCUCUGGCUCUGCUCUUCACUUUCUCUCCACAGUGGGACUCCACUGGCCCCCAAAUCCUUCCCAGCCCUUGAAAGCACAUCUGAAAGAAGAAAACCAGCUAUCCCCCAAAUUGCCACCAGAUGGUACCACAAGCUCAUGACUGGGCUUCUAUGGGCUCCCUUCAAGGAAAGGAAACUCAGACCUGGAGGACAAGGCACCUUGGAAGACCCUCCUCACAAGCCUCUUCUGCUCUUCCAGGGUGACUCUGGCCUCUCCAGGGAGACCCUCAGGGCUCUAUUUUUGACUUUCUGGGAGGCAAAGCAAUUUGGCCCUUCCUCCAUCUUGCUGUUCCUGUCUCCCUAUUUCGUCUCUCCUUGUUCAUCUUCCAGCCGCCCUCUCCAUCUGUCUCUCUCUCCUUCUGUCUCCGUCUCUCUCUCUGUUUAUCUCUGACUCUGUCUCUCUCCCUAUCUCUCUCUCUCUCUCUGUCCUCCGUCUGUCUCCAUCUUCCUCAGCAAAUCUGAUGCUGCUUUCUCAGCCAUAAAACAGAGUGAAACAAUGCCACCUGCAGCAAGCAACAUGGAUGGACCUAGAGAUUAUUACACUAAGUCAGUCAGAAAGAGAGAAACACCAUUUGAUAUCACCUAUAUGUGGAAUCUAAAAUAUGACACAAAUGAACUUAUUUACAAAACAGAUACAGACUCAGAGAGAGAGAAAGUAAACUUACAGUUACCAGAGGAGAAAGAAUGUGGGGGGGCGGGGGGGGGUGAAUUAGGAGUCUGGGAUUAGCAGAUACAAAUGACUAUAUAUAAAAUAGAUGGACUAUAUAUAAAAUAGACACAAAUGACUAUAUAUAAAAUACAGGCCCUAUUGUAUAGCACAGGAAACCAGAUUCAAUAAACCAAAUGGAAAAGAAUAUGAAAAAGAAAACGUGUGUACAUAUAUAAUCUGAAUCCCUUUGCUGUGCACCAGAAACACAACAUUGUAAAUCACCUAUAUUUCAAUUUUUAAAUGGUCACUAAAUGAGAAAAAAAAAUCUAGUGCUACUUCAACUUAUUCAAUAAGUUCAUUCUGAAAACCAGCUGCUGGUGUCUGCUGCAUGGUGGACAGUGCCAGGCUCAGAGAAGUCAGUGAAAGGAGGACUGUGGUGGGCAAGUCCCUUUAUCCUCAGCCUCCCUCCCCCUCUUCCCGCCCCCUUCCCAUCUCCCCUCCUCUCUGCUUUCCUCUCUCUCUUUCCAGCCUCUCCCUUGGCUGAGUGGCAGAGAAUCUGGGGCAGCAGAAGGGGUAUGAGCCUGUCUCUGUCCACCCCUACACAGUCCACACCCAGCCCCAUACACUGGAGCCAGGCUCGAUGGGGCAACACAAAGCCCCAGAAUCUUGAGACCCUCUUUAUUCUAAGCCAAUCCUGCCACCUCAUGGCCCCCACUGACAGAAAGGAAAAGUCACAGGCUGGGAGCCCUGAGACUUAGGAUCUGGGCCCAGUCCCACCACAAAUCCCUCUGGGAAGGUUUUCUCCAGGUCUGCCAGGCCUGGGUCUUCCCAUCUGUGGACCAAUCAUCUGGUCCACAGCUGGGCUUCCUUCCAGCUCUACACCCUAAGUUUCUCCAGGACUGUCCCUACCUGGCCGCCUUACAGGCUCACCUCGCCUCGCCCUCCCCGUUUCUCCUCAUCAGUCUGGAAGGUGUUGGCCUGUGGUCAGCAUUAAAAGACUUGCUGUCCUGGCUGGGGAGCUGGACUCCACUUGGCCUAGGAAGGGAAGCAAGAACCACUCACCAGGAGAAGCCAGAGAUGUUCUCCUCCCAGCUUCCACACCUCCGAUACAGAAACCCCCCAAGUCCUCACCCCCAAUCACUCCCAUUUCAUGGUUUUUGGAUUAGAGGCCCCAACGAGGGGUGAACCUAGGGAGGCCUGUGAGACUAAGAUUUUACCACCAGCACGUCUUUCCCUUGAAAGUGUUACAGUUAGUAAACGUUUUCAAGCCGCACCCCUGCCUACCCACCCCCAAGUGCUAGGCUGGGCAGGGAUGGGGUGUGCAUUUUGCCCCCAUCCUUACCUCCCCGCUUCCUUCUCCAGGGGGAGGUGUCACUCUCUGUCCACAGCUAAUCUUUCCAUCAUGGCUCAGGAUCCCGUUCCUCUCCCUCUCCUGGAAUCUUCCCCUCAGCAUAACGCCCUCUCACUUCCAUCUUUAAAACACCCACCUCCAUGCUAGCCAAUGCCUUUACACAAGAGAAAGCAUUUUAAAGCAUUUUACACAAGGGAAAAGAGAAGGUGAAGCUAUCAACAUUUAUAGAUGAUUAUAUACUGAAGAUGAACUACAAUGAAUAAAAAUACAAUUAGUAAGGUAAAAAUUAAGUUGGUAAGUUACAGAAUUCCUGCAGAGCAGUAAAUUGCAUUCUGAUCAGAUGAUAUAAUGAAAGACUCCAUUUACUGUAGUAUCAGAAAAGAUAAAGCACCUGGGAAUAAACUUAAUAAAAAAUGUGCAAGACCAGUAUGAAGAGCUCUGUAAAACCUUCUGAAGAACAUAAAAAAAGACAUAAAAGACAUAAAAACAUGUCACAUUCAUGGAUAGGAAGCCUCAAUAUCAUAAAGACUGCAAUUUUCUGAGUUACUUCAUACAUAAAACUAAUAAAGAUAUGUACUUUUUUUUUUUUUAACCUAGACUGGAUAAUUCUAAAGUUUAUUUAAAAAACAACAACAAGGAGUUCCCAUCAUGGCUCAGUGGUUAAGGAAUCUGACGAGGAACCAUGAGGUGGUAGGUUCGAUCCCUGGCCUCGCUCAGUGGGUUAAGGAUCCAGCGUUGCCGUGAACUGUGGUGUAGGUUCGAUCCCUGCCCCAGGAAUCCCCACAUACUGCCUGUGUGACAAAAAAAGAAAUAAAAAAUACAAUCCCCCCCCCCACAAGAGAACCUAAAAUAAACACUGCAACUCUCAUUAAAAAAAAAAAAAAAAAAAA
rnacentral:lncRNA from 1 species